rnacentral:rRNA from 1 species
ACGGUCCUAAGGUAGCGAAAUUCCUUGUCGGGUAAGUUCCGACCCGCACGAAAGGUGUAAUGAUUUGGGCACUGUCUCAACAAAGGAUCCGGUGAAAUUGUAGUAGUCGUGAAGAUGCGACUUACCCACGAUAGGACGGAUAGACCCCGUGGAGCUUUACUGUAGGCUGGCAUUGGAAUUUGGUAUUAAAUGUACAGGAUAGGUGGGAGACUGAGAAACGAGAGCGCCAGUUUUCGUGGAGUCAAUGUUGGGAUACCACUCUUUUGAUACUAAAUUUCUAACUUGAUACUCUGAAGCGAGUAUAAGGACACUGUCAGUUGGGCAGUUUGACUGGGGCGGUCGCCUCCUAAAGAGUAACGGAGGCGUUCAAAGGUUCCCUCAGAAUGGAAGGAAAUCAUUCAAAGAGUGCAAAGGCAAAAGGGAGCUUAACUGCGACACCAACAAGUGGAGCAGAUAGGAAACUAGGACUUAGUGAUCCGGUGGUACCGAGUGGAAGGGCCAUCGCUCAACGGAUAAAAGCUACCCCGGGGAUAACAGGCUUAUCUCCCCCAAGAGUUCACAUCGACGGGGAGGUUUGGCACCUCGAUGUCGGCUCGUCUCAUCCUGGGGCUGGAGUAGGUCCCAAGGGUUGGGCUGUUCGCCCAUUAAAGAGGCACGCGAGCUGGGUUCAGAACGUCGUGAGACAGUUCGGUCCCUAUCCAUCGUGGGCGAAGGAAAUUUGAGAGGAGCUGUCCUUAGUACGAGAGGACCGGGAUGGACAGACCGCUGGUGUAUCAGUUAUCAUGCCAAUGGUAAUGCUGAAUAGCUAAGUCUGGAAGGGAUAAGUGCUGAAGGCAUCUAAGCACGAAGCCCCCCUCAAGAUGAGAUUUCCUGUUGCAGAAAUGCAAGAGAGAUUCGAUAAAGAAAAUGUCGUAGAUAGGUCAGAGGUGUAAAGGUGGCAACAUCAAAGCUAACUGAUACUAAUAAAUCGAAAGCUUGACCAG